GGUGUGAUCUUGGAUUCGACAGGAAGCACGAAACCCUAGGAGCAUGUAGAGUGGCUGUAAACUCUUUAAAAAGCAGCAAAAAAAUAGUCGCAAACGACGAAACUUACGCUGUAGCAGCUUAAAAACCUGCCCAGCCGUUGCAGCAGCUUAAAAACCUGCAGGCAACCUUCCCGUCUCAUUCUGUCUGUGGCUUGGGGCAAUGGGAAGCGGAUCCCACAGAAUCGCGCGGAACCUCCGUCUGAAGGGGAAACGUUAAAUCCUAACCAGACUGGUUUCAUAACUGCGUGUCGGUUCGCGGGUGUGAGACGAGAUUAAGAAUCGACUAAACAUGUAGUGCCGAAGGCGUAGGUUUUUUGGACGCGGGUUCGAAUCCCGCCACAUCCACCA
rnacentral:tmRNA from 1 species